rnacentral:rRNA from 1 species
UACGAAGGGGGCUAGCGUUGUUCGGAAUCACUGGGCGUAAAGGGCGCGUAGGCGGCCGAUCAAGUCGGGGGUGAAAGCCUGUGGCUCAACCACAGAAUUGCCUUCGAUACUGUCGAGCUUGAGACCGGAAGAGGUAAGUGGAACUGCGAGUGUAGAGGUGAAAUUCGUAGAUAUUCGCAAGAACACCAGUGGCGAAGGCGGCUUACUGGUCCGGUUCUGACGCUGAGGCGCGAAAGCGUGGGGAGCAAACAGG